CGGACGGGUGAGUAAUGCGUAGGAAUUUACCUCAAAGCGGGGGAUAGCCCGGAGAAAUCCGGAUUAAUACCGCAUGUGCUCUACGGAGUAAAGCGGACCUCUUCUUGAAAGCUCGCACUUUGAGAUAAGCCUACGUCGGAUUAGCUUGUUGGUAGGGUAAAAGCCUACCAAGGCGACGAUCCGUAGCUGGUUUGAGAGGAUGAUCAGCCACACUGGGACUGAGACACGGCCCAG
rnacentral:rRNA from 1 species